rnacentral:tRNA from 1 species
GUCCAUAUGGUGUAUAAUAUGCACACUAGAUUUUCGUUCUUGUGGUACAGAGUAUUUUGUUUUGGAUU